UCCCUCUGCACACACAAACACACACUCACACACAGGCUCCGUUAAAUUAUGCAAAAAGGCCAUUCAACAAAUAUGGCCCUCACACAACACAAAAGAGUCGGGUUAUUCUGACAUUUCCCCUACAUUUCUUGUUUUUUUCCCCUCCUCUCUCGAUGUGAGUAAGACCCCGAGAUAAACCCCUGAACAAGUAUCAAGUUAUCAAGUUGCACCAACCUUUUGUAAUAAGAGUAUUUUGUCUAAUCCCAAAUUGCAGUUGAAUUUUCUUAAUGCUGAGCUGGUAAAGCCUGGGAUUAGGCGGCGAGGAGAGGAGGGGGAAAAGUUUUGUCCCUUCAGCCGGCAGGAUUGGAAGCGGGGAUCUGCGGGGAUGUUGUCGGUGCUUAUUAAAACGAUGAUGCAUAAAACACAGUGCUGUAGGAGCCCCGGCGCUGCACGCAGAGACCCGGGCUCCCUCAGGUGCAGGUUUUUGGACGGCGGCGGGGAAAGGAAGUAAUGCAGAGGGCCGAGCGGCGCUCAGCACCUGUGAGGUGAGGCCAGGAGACAUCAAAGCUCAGGAGAUAAUCCAUUCAGCUGAAGGAUCCUCAGCAGCACAGCAGCGCCGAGGCACCGCCGCUUUUUACGCAGCGCGCCGCUCUUAUUCACUGAAAUAUAGGAAAGUGACAUCAAAUGUUUUUCACUGCUUCUGCUUCAACAGGGACAGUAAAAACACCCGAGCGACACCACAGAGCGUCCUCUCCAGGUGCUCGUCCUCCUCCUCGGCCCUGCAGAGGGCAAAGGUCAAAAGGUCCCUGACCAGUGCGUCCCGUUUGUUGACCAGUAUGACCAGCUCAUCCAGCAGCAGCUGCUCUCGUCUCUUCUGGGCCUCCGUCUUCUGCCAGUCUGCAACGACAGCAGAGGGACAAACCCAUUCAGACCAGGAGACACUGAGGACAACUGUUUUUAUUCUAUAAACCUUGAGACACUUUGGAUCACAGGUUGUUUGUUCUUGUCCUGUCAGGAACUCUGGACGGCAGGACAGAACAGACUGAACGACCUCACAGCUCACUCCAACCUGAAAGUAAAACAUUUCUACAAAAUGCUGAAUGAACUCGGAUCCAACGGGAAUAGAAAUGUUCCUUCUGAGCACUUCUGCUUUUCAAACACUUUAGACGUGGCUCCACCUGCUCUCAGCUCUUCUGAUUAAAGGAAGAGACUUUAAUGUGACUAUAGCACAUGAUGGACAGGUUGUCUCAGUUUGGUAAAAGUUCAUCCUCUUAUUAACCUGCUGGACUGUGUACAGAUGGACACCAGAGCAGUUCCAUGUAUGGAAGAGUGUGUAGAUAUGACGUGUAAACACACUCAGGUCAGGUUGUGUGUGUGUGUUUGUGUGUGUGUGUGUGUGUUGUGUGUGUGUGUGUGCGCACAGUGACGAUGUGUUGACUCGAGCAAACACACUUGAAGGAUAUUGUCAUGUUAAUCUGCAGCCUUAUGCACACACACAAAGAUAUGUGAAGAAUUCCCACAGGAAAAUGCUGCUCGUAUAAAGUUCUCAACCCUAUUUAAAAAUAUGUGUAUGUAUGUUUAACUUCCUGUCGAUCAGUUUAUUACAGUAUAACUGUGUCUGCUGUGUUCUGUUCUGUCUUGAUGUUUGAUCUUUUUCCUUUCAUUUUUUUUUAUUUUAGCUCAUAAAGUUUCAAACUAUCAUAAACUGUAAUACAAUUAUUCGGUUUUGGUCCAUUUUUGAGGUUAAAGUGUGAAAUUCUGUGAAAGUUUGUUUCCUCUUGUUUAAUAUUAGAAAUGACCGGCUUCAGUCUUCAUGGUCCAAAAUCUAAAUAAAUACAAUCAUCUAAAAGUCAA